ACGAAGCUGGAAUCGCUAGUAAUCGCGAAUCAGAAUGUCGCGGUGAAUACGUUCCCGGGUCUUGUACACACCGCCCGUCACACCAUGGGAGUCAGCAACACCCGAAGUCAGUGACCUAACCGAAAGGGAGGAGCUGCCGAAGGCGGGGCCGGUAACUGGGGUGAAGUCGUAACAAGGUAAC
rnacentral:rRNA from 1 species